AUUUUUGGAUAAUCGCAUGAGAGAGUCAGUCUUUCAUGAGGAAAGUCCAUGCUAGCACCGGCUGUGAUGUCGGUAGUGUUUGUGCUGGGUGAAAAAAUAAGCCCAGGGACGUGUUAAAACACGUUACGGCGGAUGAAACGGCUAAGUCCUUUUAUUGAAGGAUAGGCGGGAUUAAUCCUGAAAGUGCCACAGUGACGAAGCUUUUAUGGAAACAUAGGAGGUGGAACGCGGUAAACCCCUCAAGCUAGCAACCCAAACUUUGGUAGGGGCACGGGGCAGGCGGAAAGCGAACGCACUGUCCUGACUGGAAACAGUAGACAGAUGAUUAUCGAAGGAAGCAGGAGCCUAGCUGUUUCCGGAACAAAACAUGGCUUAUAGAA
rnacentral:RNase_P_RNA from 2 species